UCCCUUUCCCCAAUUUUCAUCUGUAAUGCUGCGCCAAUAGUCCAUUACUUCCAUUAUCCUAUAUAUUUAUAUUGUGUUCGAUAAAAUUGAAGAAUUCUUCUUGAUCGUACAAAGUUCAAAGUAACAAAUUUUCAAGUCUUUCAAUUCUCAGUUAACGCCAUGUUUCGAUCGCAAGAUGCAUCUAUCAUGCACUCAUGACCUUUUGUGUCCAAAUGAGAACUACAUCUCAAUAAGAGUAGGACAACUUGCCCAAAAUCCGCUUAUAUAUGGCAAGUGAAAUGAAUAAUAUAACACCAUUGUACCCAAAGGAAUUAAAGGGGGCUCCCUUCAUGAUAUCCCAAGUAAUGAGUGGAUGAUAUUGAAUUCCAGGGGGAUGAGGCUACAUUAUAUUAGAGGCAAUCAAACUAAAAGUGGUGGCCUGGAUUGAUGAUAGAUUCUCAACAUCUUCAAGUACAAGACCUCUGCUACACUAAGGGUUAACAUUUUAUUGAUUGAAAAUGGGAAGGGACAAUGUGGGGUUGGGGAGUGUCAACUAGAUUGGAUGCUUUGUAUUAUAUAUGUUCCUCUUUUUAAAUUGCCAAAAGCCAAGAAUCAUGUGAAUUUGUACAACCUUUCAAUAUAUAGGAGUGGUGUAUAUAGCAACAACAUGCAAUA